CAACGCCAGAUAUCAAACUUGCUUUUCUUCUUUUCUGAUGCUGACUGAAGCAAGUUUCCCGGCAGUUUCUAUUUCUGGGAUAAUCGUGAACCCCUCCCCACCACCAUGACCUUAAUCCAGAAACUGAACUGGUCCAAGCAGAUUCAUACAGCAGCCUUAACAACAGAUCAGAGGUUGAGAAUUCUGAGACUGCACUGCUGAAGGCUGAAGAAGGGCAAUCGACAAUGACAGGAGAACAUGCAACACCAAAAGAAGCUCCUGAGCCAAUGUGUUCAUGAAACAACCUGUGAC